UACGUAGGGUGCGAGCGUUGUUCGGAAUUACUGGGCGUAAAGCGUGCGCAGGCGGUUCUAUAAGACAGAUGUGAAAUCCCCGGGCUCAACCUGGGAACUGCAUUUGUGACUGUAGAGCUGGAGUACGGUAGAGGGGGAUGGAAUUCCGCGUGUAGCAGUGAAAUGCGUAGAUAUGCGGAGGAACACCGAUGGCGAAGGCAAUCCCCUGGACCUGUACUGACGCUCAUGCACGAAAGCGUGGGGAGCAAACAGG
rnacentral:rRNA from 1 species